rnacentral:rRNA from 1 species
UACGUAGGUCCCGAGCGUUGUCCGGAUUUAUUGGGCGUAAAGCGAGCGCAGGUGGUUUAAUAAGUCUGAUGUAAAAGGCAGUGGCUCAACCAUUGUGUGCAUUGGAAACUGUUAGACUUGAGUGCAGUAGAGGAGAGAGGAAUUCCAUGUGUAGCGGUGAAAUGCGUAGAUAUAUGGAGGAACACCGGUGGCGAAAGCGGCUCUCUGGACUGUAACUGACACUGAGGCUCGAAAGCGUGGGUAGCAAACAGG